rnacentral:rRNA from 1 species
UACGGAGGGGGCGAGCGUUGUUCGGAUUUACUGGGCGUAAAGGGCGCGUAGGCGGCCACCGCAAGUCGACUGUGAAAUCUCCGGGCUUAACCCGGAAAGGUCAGCCGAUACUGCGGGGCUAGAGUGCAGAAGGGGCAACUGGAAUUCUCGGUGUAGCGGUGAAAUGCGUAGAUAUCGAGAGGAACACCUGCGGCGAAGGCGGGUUGCUGGGCUGACACUGACGCUGAGGCGCGAAAGCUAGGGGAGCGAACGGG